UUAAGUUAAUAAGGGCGCAUGGUGGAUGCCUUGGCACUAGAAGGCGAUGAAGGACGUGACUAACUACGAUAUGCCUCGGUUAGCUGUAAGUAAGCUUACCCGGGGGUUUCCGAAUGGGGCAACCCGAUCUUAAUGAUCAUCAUCUUUUUGAAUUCAUAGAUUAGAUGAAGCAAACGCUGUGAACUGAAACAUCUCAGUAGCAGUAGGAAAGUAAAGAAAUUUCGAUUCCGUCAGUAGCGGCGAGCGAACGCGGAAGAGCCCAAACCUGGAUGCUUGCAUCCAGGGGUUGUAGGACUGAUGUUGAGUUACAAAGGUAUAAGAUAGCAGAAACAGUUGGGAAGCUGUUCCAAAGAGGGUGACAGGCCCGUAUGCGAAAUCUUGUACUCUCUAAUCAGGAUCCUGAGUACGGCCCAGCACGUGAAAUUGGGUCGGAAUCUGGGAGGACCAUCUCCCAAGGCUAAAUACUAACUAGUGACCGAUAGCGAACAAGUACCGUGAGGGAAAGGUGAAAAGAACCCCGGAAGGGGAGUGAAAUAGUUCUUGAAACCGUGUGCUUACAAGAAGUUCGAGGCCGUUAAUGGCUGAGAGCGUGCUUUUUGUAGAAUGAACCGGAGAGUUACGAUUGCGUGCAAGGUUAAGGUGCAAAGACUGGAGCCGUAGCGAAAGCGAGUCUUAAUAGGGCGAAUCAGUACGUAGUUGUAGACCCGAAACCGAGUGACCUAUCCAUGGUCAGGUUGAAGGUGGGGUAAUACCUACUGGAGGACCGAACAAGUGGGUGUUAAAAAACCCUUUGAUGAACUGUGGAUAGCGGUGAAAUUCCAAUCGAACUCGGAGAUAGCUGGUUCUAUCCGAAAUACAUUUAGGUGUAGCCUUGCAAUUAGCUUACUGGAGGUAGAGCACUAUUUGGUCUAGGGGCCCUUCAAGGGUUACCAAAAUCAGAUAAACUCCGAAUGCCAGCUAAGUAUGUGCAGGAGUCAGACGGUGAGUGAUAAGAUCCAUCGUCGAAAGGGGAACAGCCCAGAUCACCAGUUAAGGUCCCUAAAUAUAUGCUAAGUGGAAAACGUUGUGAAGGUGCAUAGACAACUAGGAGGUUGGCUCAGAAGCAGCCACCCUUUAAAGAGUGCGUAAUAGCUCACUAGUCGAGUGCUCUUGCGCGGAUAAUGUACCGGGGCUAAGCAUAUUACCGAAACUGUGGAUGCGUAAGCAUGGUAGGAUAGCGUAAUUAACGCGAUGAAGGAUGACCGUAAGGACAUGUUGGAGCGUUAACUAGUGAGAAUUCCGGUAUGAGUAGCGAAAGAUAGGUGAGAAUCCUAUCCACCGAAUGAGUAAGGUUUCCCCCGGAAGGCUCGUCCGCGGGGGGUUAGUCGGGACCUAAGGCGAGGCUGAAAAGCGUAGUCGAUGGACAACAGGUUGAUAUUCCUGUACCGAUAUUUAAUUGCCGAAGGAAGGACGCAGAAGGAUAACACAGGCCACUAUUGGAUGUGGUUUUAAACAGUUAGUCUUCAUAAGAGUCAAAUGCUUUUAUGUUUAAGGAUAAGCUGUGAAUGUACCAAGUUUACUUGGAAAUUGUGUGAUUUCACGCUGCUGAAAAAAGUUUCGUAGGAAGAAAAUAUUGCCCGUACCGCAAACCGACACAGGUACUCGAGUGGAGAACACUAAGGUGAGCGAGUGAACUAUUGUUAAGGAACUCUGCAAAAUGAGUCCGUAACUUCGGAAGAAGGACUGCUGGUUUUAUACCAGCCGCAGCAAAUAGGCCCAAACAACUGUUUAUCAAAAACACAGGUUUCUGCAAAAUCGUAAGAUGAAGUAUAGGGGCUGACGCCUGCCCAGUGCUGGAAGGUUAAAAGGAGGACUUAGCUUCGGCGAAGGUCUUAAUUGAAGCCCCAGUGAACGGCGGCCGUAACUAUAACGGUCCUAAGGUAGCGAAAUUCCUUGUCGGGUAAGUUCCGACCCGCAUGAAAGGCGUAAUGAUUUGGGCGCUGUCUCAACAAUAGACUCGGUGAAAUUUAAAUUCCAGUGAAGAUGCUGGGUACCCGCGACAGGACGGAAAGACCCCGUGGAGCUUUACUGUAGCUUGAUAUUGAAUGUUUGUGCUGCAUGUGCAGGAUAGGUAGGAGACUUUGAAGUCGGAACGCUAGUUUCGAUUGAGUCACCCUUGAGAUACUACCCC
rnacentral:rRNA from 1 species